rnacentral:rRNA from 1 species
GAUGAACGCUGGCGGCGUGCCUAAUACAUGCAAGUCGAGCGAACAGACGAGGAGCCUGCUCCUCUGACGUUAGCGGCGGACGGGUGAGUAACACGUGGAUAACCUACCUAUAAGACUGGGAUAACUUCGGGAAACCGGAGCUAAUACCGGAUAAUAUAUUGAACCGCAUGGUUCAAUAGUGAAAGACGGUUUUGCUGUCACUUAUAGAUGGAUCCGCGCCGCAUUAGCUAGUUGGUAAGGUAACGGCUUACCAAGGCAACGAUGCGUAGCCGACCUGAGAGGGUGAUCGGCCACACUGGAACUGAGACACGGUCCAGACUCCUACGGGAGGCAGCAGUAGGGAAUCUUCCGCAAUGGGCGAAAGCUUGACGGAGCAACGCCGCGUGAGUGAUGAAGGUCUUCGGAUCGUAAAACUCUGUUAUGAGGGAAGAACAAAUGUGUAAGUAACUAUGCACGUCUUGACGGUACCUAAUCAGAAAGCCACGGCUAACUACGUG